UAAACUCUUUAAGGUGGCACGCCACCUCUGAGAAUUUCUUCUUUCUAUCUCUCUUGAAGGUUACAUCUCUCUAAAGAGAGAUAGGGGACACGCCCCCAUAAGAAACUAUAGAGAUGGGCACCCCCUUCCCCUAAAAUUGCCCUAGGCAUUGAUGCCUUGGAUAGAUCAAAUAGUUAUAGUUAUCAUAUUUUUGCGAAGGGGUUUAGUUAGGGCUUUCUCAUAUUUGGAAGCUCCGAGAUUGACCAAUGAUUCCAUGCACUAUGGGAGGAGGAGACUCGAUGUGGGGUAUAUUAAGUCUGGUUGAGGUAAUUUUCGGGCAUCUUGCUUUAUGAUUUGUAAUAUUUUAUUUCUUAUUCUUAUAAACUAUUAUGUUAAUUUUAUUCAUUGAAUAAAGUAAGUUGUGAUUAGUGAUAACAAGUGAGACCCACUAUUGGUUAUUUACUUGUUUAUUUUGAAAUGAAUUUAUUGUAAUUGGACUAUUGUAAGUGUUCUAGUAGGUGUGAAAAGAAAAAAAUAAAAACUAUAUACACCGUGCUAGAUCACCUUAUCUAAUUUUCAUUGAUAUCAGAUAUAGAUUUACUUGCUGCCCUAUUUUUUUUAAUUCACUAUUUUUGGUGAGUUGGGAAUCAUAGAUAAGAAAGCUAAUGACUUUGUAGUCAAGUGAUAUACUUCGAAAAAAAUUAUUGGCAUGUUCAAACACUGAAAAAACACUCUGCAAAAUGGGGUAUUUUGUACUGUUUUGGAACAUUGAUAUGAAAAAGAUAAUAAAGUGUUUAUAUAAUGCAUAAUAUUUUGUGUUUUUUGGAGGGAUUUCUUACAAAAUUUCAAUGGGAAAUCCUAGGGGAAUUGAGAUUUAUGGACUCAUCGUUGAAGGAUAUCAGUCUUGAACGUACAAAAUCCAAGAACUGUCAAUUGAGUUCCGUGAAUUUUUCCACCAAUCAAAUGAUUUUAGUUUUAAUUAAAAUUUGACGAUAAGUCAUCAAAUUGAGUCUACUUUCAAAUAAAAAUAAUUUCAUAGAGAAAACCCUUGUGGCUUACAAGGUAUAGUUAUUUUAUUGAAGGGUAUACAAACACUAGUUUUUAUAAUGAAAAACUGUUUCAGUGACAUAAAAAUCAUGAUUUUAUUUCCAUUCUUAAAAGAAUGUUUUGGGGAGCAUAAUAAGUUUUUAGACUGCCAUUUUGAGUCUAGUUUUUAUUAAAAAUUAUUUGAGAGAAAUAUCCAUGAGAGAUAAGGAAUUAAAAUUUUAGAUUGGAGAGAAGUCAUAAUGAAUUCUACAGUUUAGUGUGUUUCAUUGAGAUGUGAAUAUCUAUAGUUUUCAAGCCUACCGAACAUAGUCAUAUGAGGCCUGUAGACAUAUACAUAUUAACGUUUUGUGUCUACUUUCAAAUAAAAUAAGUUUGAAAGUGAAAUUCUAUGAGGAUAGAGAGGAAAGGCAAUUUUGCUAGAUAGUGUUCAUCUUUAAAUUCUACAGUAUGACCUAUUUGUAAUAUAAAUAUAAACUAUUUGUUUCUAUAAAGAAAAAAUUAUUUAGGAUUCACAUUGUGAUUUCAAGGUUUGAUUUUGAACCUAGUUUUCAACAAAAAAGGUUUGAGGAAGAAAUCCUUUGUGAAUUGAGAGAAAUAAUUAUUUUAUUGAGAGAUGUGCAACCCAAUUUUUUGUUGACGUGAAUGUUACUAAAUUGUAGAAUCACUAAAUGGUAUUAUUUGGGGAUGACAUUGAGCACUACUCUGUAUUUUUUAGUCUAUUUCAAUACUCGAAAAGUUUCAGAUAUAAACUCUUUGUGAUUUGAGAGAUAUUGUAUUUUAUCAUGAGAUAUUCAUCUUUUGUUCUGCAGUAAAUUAAAAGAUAUGGCAAGUUAAGGCACAGCUUUGUACUCCUCAUAAUGGCAGUCUUUUUAUGGCCCAUUUAAAAGUCGUACAGUUUGCCAUGAGCAUGAUUUAUAACAGUAAAACUUCAAAGAGAGGUGAUACAAAGUUGGAGAGAUAUGACACGCUAUGUGAAGAGUGCUCAAUCUGAGAAUUGUAGAAAGAAGAAAAACACAAUACCUGUAAAAACAUCUUGGUAUCUAUUCAUUAUGAAGCAAUGUAUAGAAGCCUUAGUAGCAGCAUAGAAACCAUGCAAUCAGUAAAAAAUAAAAAAUCAAGAUAGUGAAUUUUGGUGUGACGAAAUAGAGAAG
rnacentral:lncRNA from 1 species